UACGGCCAUACCAUGUUGAAACAUUGAUUCCCGUGCGAUCACCGAAGUUAAGCAACGUCGAGCUUUGUCAGUACCUAAAUUGGUAACCACUUGGGAAUACCAAGUGCUGUAA